rnacentral:rRNA from 1 species
CCUACGGGGUGCUGCAGUCGGGAAUAUUGCGCAAUGGAGGAAACUCUGACGCAGUGACGCCGCGUGCAGGAAGAAGGUUUUCGGAUUGUAAACUGCUUUAGACAGGGAAGAAACAAGACAGUACCUGUAAAAUAAGCCCCGGCUAACUACGUGCCAGCAGCCGCGGUAAUACGUAGGGGGCAAGCGUUAUCCGGAAUUACUGGGUGUAAAGGGAGCGUAGACGGUUAAGUAAGUCUGGAGUGAAAGGCCGGGGCCCAACCCCGGGACUGCUCUGGAAACUAUUCAACUUGAGUGCAGGAGAGGUAAGCGGAAUUCCUAGUGUAGCGGUGAAAUGCGUAGAUAUUAGGAGGAACACCAGUGGCGAAGGCGGCUUACUGGACUGUAACUGACGUUGAGGCUCGAAAGCGUGGGGAGCAAACAGGAUUAGAUACCCCAGUAGUC